UCAGAGCUGAAGGAUUCUACUUCCGCAUUGAAUCAAUUUUCCUUUCUUCGAUUCUCGAUUUGCAAUCUCGUAAUUGAUUUUCCCUUUCAAUUCUCAAUCUGUAAUUUCGCGAUCUGUGAUCUCACCCUUCGUCCCUCAAUUUUAUUUUUUUUGUUUCUUAUUGUAAUCACUCGCUUUUGAUUCAUGGCACUUGACACAGAUCAGCCGACCUUGACUACUGAGACCCAACAAACACAGAUUCAGCAGGAUUUCAACAAUGCCUUGUAUAUGCAUCCUUCGGAGAGUGUUGGGUCGUCGAUCA
rnacentral:lncRNA from 1 species